UUCUGAGAAGGGGUGUGCUAAAAUUGGAACGAUAAAGAGAUCAGCAGGCCCCCGCGCAAGGAUGACACACAAAUUUAAAUAUGGAAGUGUUCCAUAUUUAA
rnacentral:snRNA from 1 species